rnacentral:rRNA from 1 species
AGAGUUUGAUCCUGGCUCAGGAUGAACGCUAGCGGCAGGCCUAAUACAUGCAAGUCGAACGGAGCAGCAAUGCUUAGUGGCGCACGGGUGCGUAACGCGUAUGCAACCUACCUAUCAGUGGGGAAUAGCCCGGGGAAACCCGGAUUAAUACCGCAUAAGAUCAAAGAGUGGCAUCACUUUUGCUGAAACAUUUAUGGCUGACAGAUGGGCAUGCGUUAGAUUAGCUAGUUGGUAGUGUAAGGGACUACCAAGGCAAUGAUCUAUAGGGGUUCUGAGAGGAAGAUCCCCCACACUGGUACUGAGAUACGGACCAGACUCCUACGGGAGGCAGCAGUAGGGAAUAUUGGGCAAUGCCCGCAAGGGUGACCCAGCCAUGCCGCGUGCAGGAAGAAGGCCUUCUGGGUUGUAAACUGCUUUUGGAAGGGAACAGAACGGCUCUGCGGAGCAACUUGAGUGUACCUUCAGAAUAAGCACCGGCUAACUCCGUGCCAGCAGCCGCGGUAAUACGGAGGGUGCAAGCGUUGUCCGGAUUUAUUGGGUUUAAAGGGUGCGUAGGCGGCUUGUUAAGUCAGAGGUGAAAGACUGCAGCUCAACUGUAGCAGUGCCUUUGAUACUGAUGAGCUUGAGUAUAGAUGAGGCCGGCGGAAUUUAUGGUGUAGCGGUGAAAUGCUAGAUACCAUAAAGAACACCGAUUGCGAAGGCAGCCGGCUAAACUACAACUGACGCUGAGGCACGAAAGCGUGGGGAUCGAACAGGAUUAGAUACCCUAGUAGUCC